rnacentral:lncRNA from 1 species
GACUAAGUCGAAAACUAAAUUAACAACAACAAUUAAAAAUGACGAAAAAUAAAAGAGAGAUAGAUUUUUGGGUGCUAGGGAUCACUCUCUAGCAAUUUCAAUGCAACGAACACAUUUUAAGCAAACAAACAUAUCUUCAUGAGAACCAAAUCCCGUACUUAAUGCCGGUCAAGGCCACUAAGCCGAAUUUCCUUAAGGGUAUUCACAUUUUCGGUUAGGACAAAUAUGAACUCUCUAACUCAUGAAUUAGUACCUUACUAGGGCUACCAAAACAUGAGCUAAAGGCGUAGAGCUCUAGAAAUUAGGGAUUUAAGCAUGCAAUAGUUACAACCUAAAAUGUAACGAUUACUUAGUUCUCUACCUAAUGCCGGUUAAGGCCACUAAGUCAAUUUCUCUAAUUUGGUAUCCAUUCUUCCGGUUAAGGCAAGAAUGAACUCUCUAAUCCUAAUCAUUAUGCCUUGUUAGGGCCACAACGUCUAGGAUUAAAGGCG